UACGUAGGAGACGAGCGUUGUCCGGAGUUACUGGGCGUAAAGGGUGCGCAGGUGGUUGUGCGCGUGGGGGGUGAAAGCCCCGGGCUCAACCUGGGAAUGGCAUUUGGGACUGCAAGGCUGGAGUUUGGCAGAGGAGACUGGAAUUCCUGGUGUAGCAGUGAAAUGCGUAGAUAUCAGGAGGAAUACCGAUGGCGAAGGCAGGUCUCUGGGCUAUAACUGACGCUCAUGCACGAAAGCGUGGGGAGCAAACAGG
rnacentral:rRNA from 1 species